rnacentral:rRNA from 1 species
AGAAGUAGGGACCCGAAAGGGCGACGACCCUGUACCCAGUCAGGAGCUUUCACAGGUGCUGCAUGGCUGUCGUCAGCUCGUGCCGUGAGGUGUUGGGUUAAGUCCCGCAACGAACGCAACCCUCGUGCUAUGUUGAUUUCUCAUAGCAGACUGCCUUGUACAGCAAGGAGGAAGGUGGGGAUGACGUCAAGUCAGCAUGGCCUUUAUGCCCUGGGCUACACACACGCUACAAUGGGUGGGUACAGAGGGUUGCCACGGAGCAAUCCGGAGCGAAUCCCUUAAAACCAUCCUCAGUUCGGAUUGCAGGCUGCAAUCGCCUGCAUGAAGCCGGAGCUGCUAGUAACCGCAGGUCAGCUAUACUGCCGGUGAACUACGUUCUCGGGCCUU